rnacentral:rRNA from 1 species
UCAGUAGCGGCGAGCGAACGGGGACCGAGCCCAAAAGUUGAGACACGCAUAGCAGAAGUGACUGGAAAGUCACGCCAUAGCGAGUGACAGCCUCGUACGCGACAUGCCGGUUUCAAUGACAAUGAGUAAGGCGGGGCACGAGAAACCCUGUCUGAACAUGGGGGGACCAUCCUCCAAGGCUAAAUACUCCCUACCGACCGAUAGUGAACCAGUACCGUGAGGGAAAGGCGAAAAGAACCCCGUAGAGGGGAGUGAAAUAGACCCUGAAACCGUAUGCAUACAAGCAGUCGGAGCCCUGCGGGGUGACGGCGUACCUUUUGUAUAAUGGGUCAGCGACUUACAUCUCAGCGGCAAGCUUAACCGACGAGGGGAGGCGUAGCGAAAGCGAGUCUGAACAGGGCGCAUAGUCGUUGGGAGUAGACCCGAAACCGGGUGAUCUACCCCAUGGCCAGGGUGAAGGCGCGGUAACACGCGCUGGAGGCCCGCACCCACGUCUGUUGAAAAAAGACGGGGAUGAGCUGUGGGUCGGAGUGAAAGGC